CUUGGUGAGUAUAGCUAUGGGGGUACACCUAGUUACAUUCCGAACCUAGAAGUUAAGCCCAUAUAUGCUGAUGGUACUUGGCUGGAAGCGGCCUGGGAGAGUAUGGAUUUGCCAAGC
rnacentral:rRNA from 1 species